rnacentral:rRNA from 1 species
CGGCUAACUUCGUGCCAGCAGCCGCGGUAAUACGAGGGGGGCGAGCGUUGUUCGGAAUUACUGGGCGUAAAGGGCUCGUAGGCGGCCAACUAAGUCAGACGUGAAAUCCCUCGGCUUAACCGGGGAACUGCGUCUGAUACUGGAUGGCUUGAGAUUGGGAGAGGGAUGCGGAAUUCCAGGUGUAGCGGUGAAAUGCGUAGAUAUCUGGAGGAACACCGGUGGCGAAGGCGGCAUCCUGGACCAACACUGACGCUGAGGAGCGAAAGCCAGGGGAGCAAACGGGAUUAGAUACCCCGGUAGUCCUGGCCCUAAACGAUGAAUGCUUGGUGUGGCGGGUAUCGAUCCCUGCCGUGCCGAAGCUAACGCAUUAAGCAUUCCGCCUGGGGAGUACGGUCGCAAGGCUG